GCACCCUUGGUGCUGGUAAAAGACAAUAGCCCUUCUAACACUACUAGCACUCCUAAUUCAGAGACUUUCAGCCAUGUUUCUAUACCUAAGACUGCUAAGGGUGUUAACAAUGAUAGUUCGGAGACAAUUUUGUCUGGUCCAGCCGCCUCCCAUGCCAAUCCCAGCACCGAGGGUGAGGGCAGACAGGAUCCAGCCUUACGUCCCUUAAGGCUAAGCUGAGGCUCUCCAGCCAUUGUCCUCAUGCCCUGAAGACUCGGAAGAGCUAGCCUGUCCACCCGCCAGUUCACCAUCCCAUUCACUGCCUCAUUCAGCUUUCCAUGCCCUAGCACAAUCUCUGGUUAGGCUAGCCAACUUAUUUCCAGCUCAAGCACCAGGUUUGCUCGCCCAGGCUGCAGCUUUGUCUCCUUCGAUAACCCAGUCUUCAGCUCAGCCAUUAGCCUCCCCAGUCCAGUCAGUUCUGGCCUGGCUGCUCCUCACCCAUAGGUUUCCGCACCUGCUGGCCCCACCUGUCUUCAGCCAGAGGUUUCCACACCUGCUGGCCCUGCAGCUGCUCCUCCGCCUCCGCCAGCUCCCCCGCCGUCGCCUGCAGCUGCUUAAAUAAAAUGAUUUUGAACUAUGGAAGGUUGAGUGUGGCCUACUAGCUGUCACUGAUUUGGUUUUGUUUCUAUGUUUAUGUUUUAUUAAAG
ensembl:lncRNA